rnacentral:lncRNA from 1 species
UAGUCUAUUUAUUUUCAAAUUUCUUUCUACUCUAGUUCAUCCUCCACAUGUCCCUCAAAGUUAUUUUUCCUAAACUCAAGUGUAUUCAUGUCAUUCCAGUGAUUCCCUGUUACAUAUAGGAGUUGUCAACCUGUAAAAAACACUUCAGCACCCAAGCAGUUGUGUGAGGAAAGUUCUUCCCUUUUCCCCCUCUGGGUAACACAGCUGGCAUGCUUCUGCAUGAGACUACGUGAGUCUGUGUGAGUUUGCAUCACCAAGGCAGCCAACUGUGUGUCACAGGACUGUGACUCAGGCACCUGAUCCCAGAUAUGACUCUGAACUUGAACAGGAUGUGAAAGUGGCAUGGGACAUUGUACCCCCCCAAAUGAAAGAAGUGUUUCAGGACAAACUGAACAGUCUCUGUGACCAGGAAAGGAAGAUGGGGAAGGGCGCAAACAAGGAGGACUAGGUGGCAUUCCCAUGUGAGGUGCCUUGGUGUCUGGGGUAGAAGAACAGCAUUUUCAUUAUGUUGGAUAUCACUGAAAAGUACCAGCUUAUGUUCCUUGGAGGGAAGAAUAUGUGCUCCAACUUUCCACCAACAUAAGGGAAAUCAGGAAAUGGAAAAUAAAGCUGAUCACUUAACUUGAGUGUAAUU